UACGGAGGAGGCAAGCGUUAUCCGGAAUGAUUGGGCGUAAAGCGUCCGCAGGUGGCUGUGUAAGUCUGCUGUUAAAGAGUCUAGCUCAACUAGAUACAAGCAGUGGAAACUACACGGCUAGAGUACGUUCGGGGCAGAGGGAAUUCCUGGUGUAGCGGUGAAAUGCGUAGAGAUCAGGAAGAACACCGGUGGCGAAGGCGCUCUGCUAGGCCGUAACUGACACUGAGGGACGAAAGCUAGGGGAGCGAAUGGG
rnacentral:rRNA from 1 species